rnacentral:rRNA from 1 species
UACGUAUGGUGCAAGUGUUAUCCGGAUUUACUGGGUGUAAAGGGAGCGUAGGCGGCGCGUUAAGUCUGAUGUGAAAACCCGAGGCUCAACCACGGGAGUGCAUUGGAAACUGGCGUGCUGGAGUGCCGGAGAGGUAAGCGGAAUUCCUAGUGUAGCGGUGAAAUGCGUAGAUAUUAGGAGGAACACCAGUGGCGAAGGCGGCUUACUGGACGGCAACUGACGCUGAGGCUCGAAAGCGUGGGGAGCAAACAGG